AGGUAUAAAAGAAUCCACCACCACGGUGAAUGGUGGUCCUCUCUCUCUAACUCUCUCCAAUUGCCUCUUCUACCUUUUUUUUAGCGAAGAUCAGAUUGCCUCUUCUAUUUCCAUGUCUUGACAAGUUUGAAUUUGUCCAAUAAAAACAAGACCAUAAUAGGUGUUUAUAACGUAUUCUUAGCGGUUCUACUCUUGCAGAUGUUUGUUUAUUAAUCAAAUGAUUGCAAAUUAGUUGGGAAUUCCCUUGGACCAUUACUUUCUAUAUACCUACAAGUUUGUAUUUGAGAAGCAUUUUUGGAAAAUAAGACACUGUCAGUAAAUACUACAUGUCAUCUCCUUUUUCACAUUUUAGUACUAGCAUAUGUCUCUUUGGAAAAUGUGCAUGGACAGGCAAAGUAAGGUAAACAUCGGCACAUCAAAGACCAAACUGUAAUUAUAAAGAGUGUUUUGUCCAAUAAGACUGAAAACAGAAGAGGAAAUUUCCUAUGUGUACUUUUAGUUUGGUAGAACACCAAAGAUGGAGUAAUGAUUAACAAAACUUUCUUAACUGAAUCAUCUCCCCCUGUCUUUGACAACGAAUGGUUGUGCUCAAAGCUCUGUUUAAAAUAGCCGGGCUAUAGCCUCGCUAUAGCCUUUCCCGCACGAUGCGGCUAACUGCUACAGCCCGGCUAAACGUGCCAAAAUCCUUAAAUAGCCGGCUAUAGCCGUGCUAUAGCUGUUUUGGAAGGCCGCGGCUAUAGCCUCUAGCCGGCUAUUUUAAACAGAGGCUCAAAGUCCAUGUGCUAGCAACAUAUAUGGCUGCGAUUUUUCAGAAGAUAUAUGACUUUCGAGCAACAUACAAUUUUAUGUCGUAAUGCAGUUUCUGACAUGGUCACAUCCCACUUUGGUAUUAUAAGUGUGCAUAAGGUUCCAAUGUUGUGCAUAGAUAUGUGAUUUAGAGUUUUCUCUUUCAACCACAAUAAGAAGGUACAAAUGAGGCAACUGAAUGGGUCAAAUGGGUGUGGUUCUGCACAAUAGAUCUCUCUCUCUCUCUUCUUUUACUUGCUUUUUGUUUUUGCUUUCAUAUGAUUUUUUGCCAAGUACUUAUCCUUGAGUUUAUUCAGUUCCGUUGAUUGAGAGAUGUCUCCUCGACCUUGGUGAUAUCAUUAUCUUCAAAUUGUUUAUCUCUACAUGUAGGUGUUGGAGCUCAUGCAGCAAUAUAUUAAGGAUGAAAUGAGGUCAUGGAGAGUCAUUUUUCUGUCAUGUAUCAUUGUGGCUCUUGUUUUCUAUAUGUAACUGUGAAAGAACUUGAUUCAAAGGUUUUGGCUGAAGCUGGUUCCACAACUUGAUUCAAAGGCCGUAAAAGGUCUCAAAGGCUGCGCAUGACAUUGAUUCUGGAAAUUGCUAAGCUCACAAAACAAUCCAUGGAGCCUCGGCAGGGAAAACAUACAGUACGUGCUACAUAUAAUUUCACCUUCUUGCAGGGAAACACAAUGGAAGAGUAUACCAAGAAACCACAAACUCGACGCCGUCGAGAUCCAGCUGUGCGUUGUGCUGUACGGUGCACCAUUGAGCUGCAGGCCUACCUGCAUCGUACAGGCAAGGGGAGGGCAGGGGCCACCGUGCCGUUGAGCUCCAGCCGCGUCCUGGAGCUGCAAGCUGCCGCGCCAGGGAAAGGGAGGGCACCGGCGGCCGACGCGAAGGCCGUCAAGCUCCAGCCAUGCGCCGCGCUGGAGGACGCGCCAUCGAGCUUCAGGGCGCCCUGCGUCACAAGCUCCCUCCCGCGUGAACUGGAUCACUGCGGUCUUGGUGCCCAUGUAUGAUUUGGUUGCUGCUACUGCGUUUGCUAGCUGGUUCUUGUGCAAUAUUUUAACCACAUCGGGCAUUUUUCGACAGAGAGUUAUUUGCCUGAAACGGCAGGCCAUAAUGGACAUGGAAAACAAAAAAGAAGAAGCCAUGUUGAUGGUGUGCCCACUCAGAUUAUAUGUGUAUAUCAAUUCUCUGUCCAUCCUGUGUGCUCCUUUAUAUUUAAACUUUGAUAAAUCUUUGCACCUACACUUGAAUAGGAGCCCAUUGAUAUUUGCUUUCAACCGUACACACACACCUACCUUCACCAGGCAUUUCUUUAUAUACACUAUCCUCACAUGUAAGUAUUUUGUUAAUGCGGUGCAAUCUACUGGAUGUUUGCUACGGCAAACAAAUUUAGAAAGCACAAGCCAUCGAGAAAAUGGAGUGCCAAAUAUGCCCUCUCAUAGGUUACUGAAUUGAUUAUUUGAAUCUUAUUUACUUAUUCUGGAUACAUAUGCUAGCUAUACGAAAUAUUGUUUUAGAUUCUACACAUUCAUUUAUGUUGUACGUACUGUGAUUUUUUGUUCUCGAUGAAAACUAUAGAGAGAUGAUAGGUAGAACAACCGCUAUUCACUUUUGUGAGGAACCCUUUCAAAAUUCUUCUUUUUAUGCUAUAUAAUUGCAAUGGUCAGUUCACACAUCCGAUUGUCCAUAUAAAUGACUUUGUGGAUUAUCCAAAUCAACUUUGAUUAGAAUGAUAUUGACAGCAUGCUUGCCUAGGAUCUUUCCAUUCCCCCCCCCCCGUCUUGUAUGGUAUUUUUUCCAUUGUUUCCUUCCA